AUCGGAUUCAUUCGCAGGGAAACUUCUGUCAUCAUCAGGGAAAAUUGAUGCAAAUCAACUCCAUCAACAUGCCAACAGCUCGGAAACAAUGGAGCCGGAUCAGUUAGAAAAACAGAACAAGUGAUGAUGGAGAUGUUUACUGUUGAAAACUGACGUUUAGUUUCGGCAUUAUGCUGCCACCUGGUGGACAACCUGGAUCACAACAGGAGGAACUGAAGUAGUUUUCAAAUGAAACGUGGUUUGAUUUUGUGAUCAGGCCUUUAAUUUGAUAUUUUUUGAUUUAUUCUGAAGAGAUUUUAAAACAGCACACCUUCUCUUGAGCCAGGCAGUAAUUAUAAAACUGAACAAUACGACAGAUCUGAUUUAUCUUUAGGAAGGACUGGAGUCACUGAUGAAGCCAGGUGAAAUUCAUGUUUGGCUACGUAGUCCGAAGCUGCCUGACAUUUCAAUUAGUGUCGAAUUACACCACUACAGUGGCACCAGUCAAACCAGUUGUGACGUCAGAGAUGUGUUUGGAUUUGUACUCUGAAGUUAUGAGGAUGUGAUGAAUUUAAAUCCUCGCAGACUUGACGCUUCUUCUCUUCGGAAAACUCUUUGACAGAUGAAGGUGGAAAGUUUCUUCAGAUCGACCUAAAGGUCAGCGCCGUGACAAAAUGGACUCUGCUGGACAAGAACCUCAAUCUGAAACUCGAUCCAAGAAACUGGUUGUGCGUAAAUCAUCAAUAGAUAAAUACAUAGAAUUUAAGAACCAGAGUUCUCGGCUGGAACACAAAAUAGAAGCUGCUAAACCUUCAACUCAAACUGAAGCUGGAUUCAAGAGUUUGCUCAACCGUAAAAUAUCAACGGACACGGACUACAAACAAAGACACCAGCCAGUCCUGCUCUGAGAUCCUCGCUGAUCAAUCUGUCCUUCUGCAUCCAGAAAAUCUGGAUUCCAUAUUUGUGAUUUCUGUGUAUUUGAACUGGAUACGAACUCGGUGAACAAACACCUGAAGCUGUCCGACAAUCGGAAGAUGACGCUGGUUGACCUUGUUCAGAUCAUCCAGAAAGAUUCGACUUCUGGCAGCUGCUUUGUGGAAACGCCCUGACUGGUCGCUGUUACUGGGAGGUGGAGUGGAAAGGAGGAGUUCUCAUAGCCAUCAGUUACUGAUGAAUCGGGAGGAAAGGAAAGAGGAAUGACUGCAAGUUUGGAGAGAAUGAACUUUCCUGGAGACUGAGCUGCUCUGAUGGUGGAUUUUCUAUCUGGCACUCAAACAGUCAGACAUUCAUCCCGUCCUCAUCCAUGUCCCACAUGUAUGUUAACUGUUUGCCUGGCAUCCUGUCCUUCUACAGGGUGUCAUCCGACACACAGCUCCAUCUCUACACCUUCAACACCACCUUCACUGAACCACUUCAUGCUGGCUUUGGGUUCAGCUCAUAUUGACUCCUCAGUGUCUCUGUUGAGAUUAUUUGACAAAACCUCAAUCUUUAAUAAAGAAGCAGAAUAAAAUUAAUUUGUGAAUUUCAAACUCUCAGGAUUUUUCACCUCAGAGCCUCUAAUAUGCUUUUGAAACUAAAUCUGUGUUCGAUCAACAUUUUGACCACAUUCAAGCCACAUGUUUUCUAUUACAAUAUUGCAAUCUGUUUUCAAUUUCUAUGUAUUUUUUCUAUUCCUUGAUGUUGAAAUGCCUUCUAAGCUUGUAUUUAUUGCUUCUCUCAUCUUUAUUGAUCUAUUUGUAUAUAUGCAAUGAAACGAAUUCCACUUUAUGAGGAUUUAUUCACUUUGAUAAAAAAAAAAAAUCUUAUUUGAUUUGACAUUUUUAGUCUACAAUGGGGCAACUGUAGGUUUUAUUCAGAUAGCAGCUGGUCUGUUUGGGUUUUUUUCCCUUUAAUUGUAAUAAUUAUUUCAAAACAUCUUAUUGUAUUUGCUCGUGUUAUCUUUAUUUGAUAUCAAAUUGUAUUUGUUAUGAAACACAUAAAUGUGUCCAAAACAAACUGACGAUAAUUAUAAAGUUUAGAAAUUGUAUGACAAGAAACGGUGGAUGUAAAAACUUCUUAAAGUUCAUCAUAUUUUUAUGGAAUGUAUUACUUAUGAAUUAGAAAGAAGGCAGUUCCCACAAUAAAGAAAAA